CUGCAGCCCGAGUGGUGAUCGAUUUUAUUGAGCCUAAAGCGUCCGUAGCCGGACUAGUAAACCCUUGGGUAAAUUGGGCAGCUUAACUGUCUAAAUUCCGAGGGGACUGCUAGUCUUGGGACCGGGAGAGGUCAGAGGUACUCAAGGGGUAGGGGCUAAAUCCUGUAGUCCUUUGGGGACCACCAGUGGCGAAGGCGUCUGACUAGAACGGAUCCGACGGUAAGGGACGAAACCCUGGGGCGCGAACCGGAUUAGAUACCCGAGUAGUCC
rnacentral:rRNA from 1 species